AUUUUGCGUUGUCUGGGCUCGGCGGCAGCCGGGCUCGGACUGGACGUGCCACUAUGGGGUCGUCCAAGAAGCAUCGCGGAGAGAAGGAGGCGGCCGGGACGACGGCGGCGGCCGGCACCGGGGGUGCCACCGAGCAGCCGCCGCGGCACCGGGAACACAAAAAACACAAGCACCGGAGUGGCGGCAGUGGCGGUAGCGGUGGCGAACGACGGAAGCGGAGCCGGGAACGUGGGGGCGAGCGCGGGAGCGGGCGGCGCGGGGCCGAAGCUGAGGCCCGGAGCAGCACGCACGGGCGGGAGCGCAGCCAGGCAGAGCCCUCCGAGCGGCGCGUGAAGCGGGAGAAGCGCGAUGACGGCUACGAGGCCGCUGCCAGCUCCAAAACUAGCUCAGGCGAUGCCUCCUCACUCAGCAUCGAGGAGACUAACAAACUCCGGGCAAAGUUGGGGCUGAAACCCUUGGAGGUUAAUGCCAUCAAGAAGGCCAUGGGCGGGCAUAGCCUCAUGUCUGGGCCCCCCUUCCAGAGGCGGGCACCAAGGAGGAGCCCGUGACAGCUGAUGUCAUCAACCCUAUGGCCUUGCGACAGCGAGAGGAGCUGCGGGAGAAGCUGGCGGCUGCCAAGGAGAAGCGCCUGCUGAACCAAAAGCUGGGGAAGAUAAAGACCCUAGGAGAGGAUGACCCCUGGCUGGACGACACUGCAGCCUGGAUCGAGAGGAGCCGGCAGCUGCAGAAGGAGAAGGACCUGGCAGAGAAGAGGGCCAAGUUACUGGAGGAGAUGGACCAAGAGUUUGGUGUCAGCACUCUGGUGGAGGAGGAGUUCGGGCAGAGGCGGCAGGACCUGUACAGUGCCCGGGACCUGCAGGGCCUCACCGUGGAGCAUGCCAUUGAUUCCUUCCGAGAAGGGGAGACAAUGAUUCUCACCCUCAAGGACAAAGGCGUGCUGCAGGAGGAGGAGGACGUGCUGGUGAACGUGAACCUGGUGGAUAAGGAGCGGGCAGAGAAAAAUGUGGAGCUGCGGAAGAAGAAGCCUGACUACCUGCCCUAUGCCGAGGACGAGAGCGUGGACGACCUGGCGCAGGCACGGCCUGGGCAGGCUGGGUGGCGGGGGCUGAGGUGUAGAAUGUCGGGAAUGGGGGCUCUGAGGAGGUGGUGGCUCAGUGGCUUUUCAGGAGCCAGCCUGGGUCCCAACCUGUACCUCUUGCCUUGCAGCAAAAACCUCGCUCUAUCCUGUCCAAGUAUGACGAAGAGCUUGAAGGGGAGCGGCCACAUUCCUUCCGCUUGGAGCAGGGCGGCACGGCUGAUGGCCUGCGGGAGCGGGAGCUGGAGGAGAUCCGGGCCAAGCUGCGGCUGCAGGCUCAAUCCCUGAGCACAGUGGGGCCCCGGCUGGCCUCCGAAUACCUCACGCCUGAGGAGAUGGUGACCUUUAAAAAGACCAAGCGGAGGGUGAAGAAAAUCCGCAAGAAGGAGAAGGAGG
rnacentral:sRNA from 1 species